rnacentral:rRNA from 1 species
AGAUUGAACGCUGGCGGCAUGCCUAACACAUGCAAGUCGAACGGGAGUAGCAAUACUCUAGUGGCGGACGGGUGAGGAAUACGUAGGAAUUUGCCCUUAAGUGGGGGAUAACCCGGGGAAACCCGGAUUAAUACCGCAUGACCUCGAAAGAGCAAAGUGGGGGAUCGCAAGACCUCACGCUUUUGGAGAAGCCUACGUCGGAUUAGCUAGUUGGUGAGGUAAUGGCUCACCGAAGGCGACGAUCCGUAACUGGUCUGAGAGGAUGAUCAGUCACACCGGAACUGAGACGACGGUCCGACUCCGUACGGGAGCAGCAGGUGGGAAUAGUGACAAGUGGGC